GACGAACGCUGGCGGCGUGCUUAACACAUGCAAGUCGAACGGAAAGGCCCUGCUUUUGUGGGGUGCUCGAGUGGCGAACGGGUGAGUAACACGUGAGUAACCUGCCCUUGACUUUGGGAUAACUUCAGGAAACUGGGGCUAAUACCGGAUAGGAGCUCCUGCUGCAUGGUGUGGGUUGGAAAGUUUCGGCGGUUGGGGAUGGACUCGCGGGUUAUCAGCUUGUUGGUGGGGUAGUGGCUUACCAAGGCUUUGACGGGUAGCCGGCCUGAGAGGGUGACCGGCCACAUUGGGACUGAGAUACGGCCCAGACUCCUACGGGAGGCAGCAGUGGGGAAUAUUGCACAAUGGGCGGAAGCCUGAUGCAGCAACGCCGCGUGCGGGAUGACGGCCUUCGGGUUGUAAACCGCUUUCGCCUGUGACGAAGCGUGAGUGACGGUAAUGGGUAAAGAAGCACCGGCUAACUACGUG
rnacentral:rRNA from 1 species